UACGUAGGUGGCAAGCGUUGUCCGGAAUUACUGGGUGUAAAGGGCGUGUAGGCGGGAAGAUAAGUCAGAUGUGAAAUUCCGGGGCUCAACCCCGGCACUGCAUCUGAAACUAUCUUUCUUGAGUGCUGGAGAGGAAAGCGGAAUUCCUAGUGUAGCGGUGAAAUGCGUAGAUAUUAGGAGGAACACCAGUGGCGAAGGCGGCUUUCUGGACAGUAACUGACGCUGAGGCGCGAAAGCGUGGGGAGCAAACAGG
rnacentral:rRNA from 1 species